GAUUGAAGAACGUAGCGAAAUGCGAUAAGUAAUGUGAAUUGCAGAAUUCAGUGAAUCAUCGAAUCUUUGAACGCACAUUGCGCCCGCCAGUAUUCUGGCGGGCAUGCCUGUCUGAGCGUCAUUUCAACCCUCAUGCCCCUAGGGCGUGGUGUUGGGGAUCGGCCAAAGCCCGCGAGGGACGGCCGGCCCCUAAAUCUAGUGGCGGACCCGUCGUGGCCUCCUCUGCGAAGUAGUGAUAUUCCGCAUCGGAGAGCGAUGAGCCCCUGCCGUUAAACCCCCAACUUUCCAAGGUUGACCUCAGAUCAGGUAGGAAUACCCGCUGAACUUAAGCAUAUCAAUAAGCGGAGGA
rnacentral:misc_RNA from 1 species